UUCGGAUUUUCAGAGAAGGUGGGGCAUGCCCGUCGUCAGUUCGUACUGUAAAGCGUUUCUGUUAAGUCAGAUAACGAACGAGACCNUCAUCUCUAUUUGCUACCCGUCUCUCCGGAGGCGGCGCACUAUAGGGAGACCGCUGGUGUUAAACCAGAGGAAGGCGAGGGCAACGACAGGUCAGUAUGCCCCGAAUGUCCUGGGCUACACGCGCGCUACAAAGGACGGGACAAUGGGAAGCCAGGCCGAGAGGCCGAGCUAACCCGAAACCCGUUCAUAGUUCGGAUCGAGGGCUGUAACUCGCCCUCGUGAAGCUGGAUUCCGUAGUAAUCGUGUUUCAAUAUAGCACGGUGAAUAUGCCCCUGCUCCUUGCACACACCGCCCGUCAAACCAUCUUAGUUGGGGGUGGGUGAGGCUGCGCUUUAUGGCGUAUUCGAGCCUGCCUUCGACAAGGAGGGUUAAGUCGUAACAAGGUAACC
rnacentral:rRNA from 1 species